CGACCCGUAGCUCAAUGGUAGAGCUGUCGCCUUAUACGCGAUCGGUUGGGGGUUCGAGUCCCUCCGGGUCGA
rfam:Candidatus Buchananbacteria bacterium RIFCSPLOWO2_01_FTLL_46_12 rifcsplowo2_01_scaffold_46218, whole genome shotgun sequence.